GACGAACGCUGGCGGCGUGCUUAACACAUGCAAGUCGAACGGAAAGGACCUGCUUUUGCGGGGUGCUCGAGUGGCGAACGGGUGAGUAACACGUGAGUAACCUGCCCUUGACUUUGGGAUAACUUCGGGAAACUGGGGCUAAUAACGGAUAGGAGCGCCUGCUGUUAGGUGGGGGUUGGUAAGUUUCGGCGGUUUGGGAUGGACUCGCGGGUUAUCAGCCUGUUGGUGGGGUAGUGGCUUACCAAGGCUUUGACGGGUAGCCGGCCUGAGAGGGUGACCGGCCCCAGUCGGAUUGAGAUGCGGGCCGGACGCCUACGGGAGGCAGCGGUGGAGGUUAUUGCAAGAUGGGCGGAAUCAUGGAGCAGGAACGCCGCGUGCGGAAUGACUGCCGUCAGGUUGUAACCCGUUUGCGCCUGUAACGAAGCGUGAGUGACGGUAAUGGGUAAAGAAGCACCGGCUAACUACGUG
rnacentral:rRNA from 1 species